UACAGGGGGUGCGAGCGUUGCUCGGAAUCACUGGGCGUAAAGCGAACGCAGGCGGACCGUUAAGUCGGGUGUGAAAGCCCGGGGCUCAACCCCGGAAUUGCAUUCGAUACUGGCGGUCUUGAGUACGGGAGAGGUGAGUGGAAUUCCUGGUGUAGAGGUGAAAUUCGUAGAUAUCAGGAGGAACACCGGUGGCGAAAGCGGCUCACUGGCCCGAUACUGACGCUCAUGUUCGAAAGCGUGGGGAGCAAACAGG
rnacentral:rRNA from 1 species